rnacentral:rRNA from 1 species
GGCAAGUGGCGGCUGCUUACCAUGCAGUCGAACGGUGAAGGGACCAGCUUGCUGGUUCUGGAUGAGUGGCGAACGGGUGAGUAACACGUGAGUAACCUGCCCCCUUCUUCUGGAUAACCGCAUGAAAGUGUGGCUAAUACGGGAUAUUCUGGGUCUGUCGCAUGACGGGCCCGGGAAAGAUAUUGUUUCGGUGGGGGAUGGGCUCGCGGCCUAUCAGCUUGUUGGUGGGGUGAUGGCCUACCAAGGCGGUGACGGGUAGCCGGCCUGAGAGGGUGGACGGUCACACUGGGACUGAGACACGGCCCAGACUCCUACGGGAGGCAGCAGUGGGGAAUAUUGCACAAUGGGCGCAAGCCUGAUGCAGCGACGCCGCGUGAGGGAUGGAGGCCUUCGGGUUGUAAACCUCUUUCGCCAGUGAAGCAGGCCUGCUCCUUGUGGGUGGGUUGACGGUAGCUGGAUAAGAAGCGCCGGCUAACUACGUGCCAGCAGCCGCGGUAAUACGUAGGGCGCGAGCGUUGUCCGGAAUUAUUGGGCGUAAAGAGCUCGUAGGCGGCUGGUCGCGUCUGUCGUGAAAUCCUCUGGCUUAACUGGGGGCUUGCGGUGGGUACGGGCCGGCUUGAGUGCGGUAGGGGAGACUGGAACUCCUGGUGUAGCGGUGGAAUGCGCAGAUAUCAGGAAGAACACCGGUGGCGAAGGCGGGUCUCUGGGCCGUUACUGACGCUGAGGAGCGAAAGCGUGGGGGAGCGAACAGGAUUAGAUACCCUGGUAGUCCACGCCGUAAACGUUGGGCACUAGGGUGGUGGGGGGGCCUUUUCCGGGUCUUCCGCGCCGUAGCUAACGCAUUAAGUGCCCCGCCCUGGGGAGUACGGCCGCAAAGGCUAAAACUCAAAGGAAUUGACGGGGGCCCGCACAAGCGGCGGAGCAUGCGGAUUAAUUCGAUGCAACGCGAAGAACCUUACCAAAGGCUUGACAUGUGCCGGUCGGCUCCGGGAGACGGGGC